rnacentral:rRNA from 1 species
UACGUAGGGACCAAGCGUUGUCCGGAAUCAUUGGGCGUAAAGCGCGCGUAGGCGGCCCGGUAAGUCCGUUGUAAAAGUCGAAGGCUCAACCUUCGAAAGCCGAUGGAUACUGCCGGGCUAGAGUACGGAAGAGGCGAGUAGAAUUCCUGGUGUAGCGGUGGAAUGCGCAGAUAUCAGGAGGAAUACCCAUAGCGAAGGCAGCUCGCUGGGACGUUACUGACGCUGAGACGCGAAAGCGUGGGGAGCAAACAGG